rnacentral:rRNA from 1 species
GGCUAGGGGCUAUAGUAGUUACCGAACCCUAUCAAACUCCGAAUGCCAUAUACUUGUAUCACGGCAGUCAGACUGCGAAUGAUAAGAUCCGUAGUCAAAAGGGAAACAGCCCAGACCAUCAGCUAAGGUCCCAAAGUGUAAGUUAAGUGGAAAAGGAUGUGGGGAUUUCUAAGACAACUAGGAUGUUGGCUUAGAAGCAGCCACUCAUUCAAAGAGUGCGUAAUAGCUCACUAGUCAAGAGAUCCUGCGCCGAAGAUGUCCGGGGCUCAAACUUACCACCGAAGCUAUGGGUGUACACUAUGUGUACGCGGUAGAGGAGCUUUCUGUAUGGGUUGAAGUCGUACCGUAAGGAGCGGUGGACUGUACAGAAGUGAGAAUGCUGGCAUAAGUAGCGAGAAAUAAGUGAGAAUCUUAUUGGCCGAAAACCUAAGGUUUCCUGAGGAAGGUUCGUCCGCUCAGGGUUAGUCGGGACCUAAGCCGAGGCCGAAAGGCGUAGGUGAUGGACAAUCGGUUGAUAUUCCGAUACC